rnacentral:tRNA from 1 species
GCACUGAUGGGGGCGUAGCUCAGCUGGGAGAGCACCUGCUUUGCAAGCAGGGGGUCGUCGGUUCGAUCCCGUCCGCCUCCACCA